rnacentral:rRNA from 1 species
UCGUCAGCUCGUGUCGUGAGAUGUUGGGUUAAGUCCCGCAACGAGCGCAACCCUUGUUGUCAGUUACUAACAUUAAGUUGAGGAAUAUAGAGAGACUGCCGAGGUUAACUCGGAGGAAGGUGGGGAUGACGUCAAAUCAUCAUGCCCCUUAUGUUCUGGGCUACACACGUGCUACAAUGGCCGGUACAGAGAGACGCAAAACCGCGAGGCGGAGCAAAUCACUAAAACCGGUCCCAGUUCGGACUGCAGGCUGAAACCCGCCUGCACGAAGUUGGAGUUGCUAGUAAUCGCAGAUCAGAAUGCUGCGGUGAAUGCGUUCCCGGGUCUUGUACACACCGCCCGUCACACCAUGGAAGUUGGGGGUGCCCAAAGUUGGCUGAUAAAUAAGUUACCUAAGGCAAAACAACAAUGACUGGGGUGAAGUCGUAACAAGGUAACCGUA